AGGAGGAACAGCCCCAGUGGCGGGGCCAGCUCUGGAGCCCUGGAUUCAGCCCCCGCAGUAACUCCGCAGCUCUCCGUCUGCAGGGCCUGGAGGCUCCGGGGCGGG
rnacentral:pre_miRNA from 1 species